AUUGAACGCUGGCGGCAGGCCUAACACAUGCAAGUCGAGCGAGCGGGGGGCGGGGGAGUAAGGUAUGGGGAUCGGCCCGAUAGAGGGGGAUAACUAAUGGAAACGGAGGCUAAUACCGCAUACUAUCGGAGGAACCCAUAUGGGAUUAGCUAGGAGGUGGGGUAAAGGCUCACCUAGGCGACGAUCUGUAGCUGGUCCGAGAGGAUGAUCAGCCACUCUGGGACUGAGACACGGCCCAGACUCCUACGGGAGGCAGCAGUGGGGAAUAUUGCACAAUGGGCGCAAGCCUGAUGCAGCCAUGCCGCGUGUGUGAAGAAGUCCUUCGGGUUGUAAAGUACUUUCAGCGGGGAGGCGUUACCCGCAGAAGACGCACCGGCUCACUCCGUGCCAGCAGCCGCGGUAAUUC
rnacentral:rRNA from 1 species